CGAGUGUGGAACAGUAGGUGGAGUUUUGACAGAGGAGGUGAAUAGUGUGUGUUGCAGAGGGGUCCUUGUCUUAAAUGUGGCUUGGCACAGGUGCUUGAAGUCCUUGAGAAUGAUGCGGCUUAAAGUUUUUGUCAUUUACGGGAUCCUUGUAAUCUCCGGGAGACUGCAAAACACCGUUGCAAGCCCUUCUUAUCUGAUCACAGCCCCCAGAUUCUUGCGUCCUGCUGUCCCCAGCACGCUGACGGUGGCACUUUUGAGGAGCCCUCCUGAUUUUGUCAAAAUCAUGGCAGAGAUCCUCAGUGGGAACUUCAGUUUGGUUAAAAGCGAAGCCACUUUUAAAGGAGGCAAGUAGGACAUUUCGGAAUAGGAAGUGAACACAUUGUGUGUGAGAAAGAUUGUAAA
rnacentral:lncRNA from 1 species